GGGGUCGCUGAAGGUCCACUGAGCGUCCACACCGACUGCAAACAGUUCAGGUGUUCGUACUGCGGCAAAACCUUCAUCUCCGGCAGCCACCUGCGACGACACAUCGCCGCGCAUCUCGGAGAGAAACGAUUGGCUCCUGCGUUCCAGUGACAACAGCGCUUGUUUUUGUCGACUCGUAGCGUCUGAAGAAAAUUCUGCAUGUUUUUGUCUGAAGGUGACGAGUUUGUGUCCACAGUCAGUUUUUUUAUGAUCGUCGUGUCAUUUUGUAAUAAAGUUCAAUUAUUGUUGCACAACA